GAAAUGCGAUAAGUAGUGUGAAUUGCAGAAUUCAGUGAAUCAUCGAAUCUUUGAACGCACAUUGCGCCCCUUGGUAUUCCAUGGGGCAUGCCUGUUCGAGCGUCAUUUGUACCCUCAAGCUCUGCUUGGUGUUGGGUGUUUGUCCCGUCUCCGCGCGUGGACUCGCCCCAAAGUGAUUGGCAGCCGGCGUACUGGUCCCGAAGCGCAGCACAUGUCGCGCAAACGAGUGCCUUGGUACGGCGGCGUCCAUAAGCCCCUCUCUCACGCUCUUGACCUCGGAUCAGGUAGGGAUACCCGCUGAACUUAAGC
rnacentral:misc_RNA from 1 species